rnacentral:rRNA from 1 species
AGUCGAGCGAGCUUGCCUAGAUGAUUUUAGUGCUUGCACUAAAUGAGACUAGAUACAAGCGAGCGGCGGACGGGUGAGUAACACGUGGGUAACCUGCCCAAGAGACUGGGAUAACACCUGGAAACAGAUGCUAAUACCGGAUAACAACACUAGACGCAUGUCUAGAGUUUGAAAGAUGGUUCUGCUAUCACUCUUGGAUGGACCUGCGGUGCAUUAGCUAGUUGGUAAGGUAACGGCUUACCAAGGCAAUGAUGCAUAGCCGAGUUGAGAGACUGAUCGGCCACAUUGGGACUGAGACACGGCCCAAACUCCUACGGGAGGCAGCAGUAGGGAAUCUUCCACAAUGGACGAAAGUCUGAUGGAGCAACGCCGCGUGAGUGAAGAAGGGUUUCGGCUCGUAAAGCUCUGUUGGUAGUGAAGAAAGAUAGAGGUAGUAACUGGCCUUUAUUUGACGGUAAUUACUUAGAAAGUCACGGCUAACUACGUGCCAGCAGCCGCGGUAAUACGUAGGUGGCAAGCGUUGUCCGGAUUUAUUGGGCGUAAAGCGAGUGCAGGCGGUUCAAUAAGUCUGAUGUGAAAGCCUUCGGCUCAACCGGAGAAUUGCAUCAGAAACUGUUGAACUUGAGUGCAGAAGAGGAGAGUGGAACUCCAUGUGUAGCGGUGGAAUGCGUAGAUAUAUGGAAGAACACCAGUGGCGAAGGCGGCUCUCUGGUCUGCAACUGACGCUGAGGCUCGAAAGCAUGGGUAGCGAACAGGAUUAGAUACCCUGGUAGUCCAUGC